UGAGGCCUCAGACCAGCUGAGGCAGCCAUGGGAACAGCGAUAGCAUUUACUUCUAGCGCUUCUGCCCUCAUGGCCCGCGGCCCUUCCCUCCUCCCAGCAGAGAGUUCUGGACAGGACCGGGCCCAAGCUUUCAGCCUAGCAGAAACCUGGAAGCGAGGCAGCGUUCACCAUGAUGCAGUGAGGAGUCCAAGGCCCUGAGAGGUCAUAUGACUCACUCAAGGUCAUCCUGCCAUAGCAGAGAUGCGAUGAAGCCCUGCCUUUGGAGAAGGACUGCCCCAGGGUAGAAAAGCCCUCCGCUGAGCCUGCUCUGUGCCAUGUGCUACACACUGGAUACAGGGCUGAGGGAGUUCAAACGGACUUCCGCCCACGCCUGCUCCCCGCAUCGGCCUGUCAGAUGCCCACCUCAGAGGCCUGGUGGAGGCCGCGACCCCUGGAGGCUGGACCUUCCGAGGAGGCUCUGACCACCUUCACCAGGUAAUAGCCCAAACCACCUGGCAGCCUUGGCCCGCCCUUGAGCCUUGGGGCUCCUUCCCUGACUGCACGUCGAUUUGCCCAUGACCCUGACUCCUUGGUUGGCUCUCACCUUGAUUGGCUAUUUCCUCUGACAUGGACCAGGCAUGGGGCUCUGGCCUGGCCCGAGUUCCCCUCUCAGGCUCUGGUGCCCUCUGCACUCCGGUUGGGCUACUUUUGGCUUCAGAACUCCUGUCUCAGCCCUGACAGCUUUUGGUGACCUCACGUAUUAAGUGUCUAAGGGAACAUGCCCCCAGGGCUGGCUGGGGCCUCAGAGUCAGGCCUGACCCCGAGAGGCCUGGUCUUCCCGUGCGGGCUCUCGUACAGGUGUGAGCACCUGUGUCUCACAUGCUGAGUCCAUCUGCUGCUGCGGGAACUUCAGAGUCCUGCAAACUUCCCUUCCUUGGUGUUUUGGGAGUUGCUAAGGGUGCGGGUCCUUCCUGCAUUUUUUGAUGCAACCAUCACUGCAGCUCACUAGGCCUGCUAACCAAGCCUUCACUGGGGACCUCCAGCCAUACCAGUGCCUGCUGGACUGGGCCGGGCCAGUUCUCCUGGCAGAGUGCUGCUUCCUCGUAGCUGGACAUGCCCAAACCCGAUGCUGGGAGCUGUCCUGGGACCCCCAGAAGACAUCCCGGUCCCCCUUAUUAUCUGCUGCCUGGUUCAGAGCUGGGAGGUUUGGACACAGACCCCUGCACGUUCCUUGUGAAAUUAGAAGAAGCAUAUUCCCUGCCUUGGCGUCAUAUUGGCUGAGGGGUAGAGAGUUCCAUGCAGGGGAUUUGAAUCCCAGUGAGUUAUUCAUUCAUUGAUUAAUUCACUCACCAAAACUUGGUUGAGUUCCUAUUAGGUGCCUCACCCCGUCUGCCCUCAUGGAGCUUAUACUCUAGUGGUGGGUACACCCCAUUGCACAAAUAAACAGGAGGUGUUUAUUACUGGACAGGAGAGAGCAAAGCUAGGAUAAGAAUAUGACAGGGAGCGACCAGAGGCCGGUGUAGGUAGCGUGGUCAAGAACUUCUUCGAGGAAGUGACAUUUAAGCUGAGACUUGGAUGAUGAAUAAGAGCCAGCCAUGCAAAGCUCCAGAGGGAGAGCGUUUCCAGAGGAGGAAGGAGCGGUGCAGAGGCCGGGGCUGAGGAUAAGUCUGGUAGGUUCAGGAUCAGAAUAGGGCUGGUGUGGCUGAAGCAUGGUGAGUGAGAGGGGCAAACAAGAUGGGAGAUGGUGUGGAGAACUUGGGGGCUGCCAAUCACAGACUAGGAUGAGAGGUCAGAUUUGAUUCCAGUGGGAAGGAAAAUCCUAGGAGGGCUUGAUGACCAGAGAGACUGGGUCAGAUACAACCAGGGCAUUAUCAUUUCACUUCUUGAAGCCUCAGUUUUCUCAUCUGUAAAAUGGGCAUAAUAAUAUCUCCUCCAUAGGGUGGAAUAAUGAAUGAGGAGACAGUAGAAGAAUAAAACUAGAUCAUGAAUUAUGUGCUGAGAUGAAUUGUAACAACUGAAGGUAACUCUUCUUUUUCAGUUUCCAGGAAACCAGGAUGAAAGCAGAACAGGUUACCUAGUGGUAGGAAUCACCCAGCUCAACAGGGGAGACCAUUUCUAGCCCUAAGUUUAGAAAGGCAUUUACCCCUGAAGGCUUAGAUGCCCUAUCCCUUAUUUUCUACAUCAUUCCUACGCUCCUGAGACAUCCUGAUCAUCUUUGGCCACUGGUUGGUUUAGGACGGACCUGGGGAGAUGGAAAUAGGACCCAGGCUACUCCUGGCUUAGCUGUAAACUGCAGAGUUACCUAUAGAUUUGGAAUAGCUGCCAGUGAGCUACUGCCCUCAGCUUUAUCUCCCAUGGUCUGUGCCCUGGUCAGGGGCUGGUAAGAGGGCCUGGUAACUAUCCAGAGAGUCUGGACUGAACCUGGCUCCAGGCACUGGUGUUUACUUCCUCCGGGUUUUCUUAUUUGAAACCCACGACUUGUAAAUAAUCUAUGGGUUGUUGGUAAAGAUGGAGCAACUUAUAAUGGUACAGAGUCGCCGUUGGAUGGUAGUCUGCCUCCUGCCAUGGUUUGCCUUUUAUGAGCUGUAUGAUCGGGGAAAAUCACGUUAACCUCCUGGGCUACAGUGUUCCAGUCUGUCACACAGGAUCGGGAUCUCUUUCGGGAGGGCUGUCGUGAAAUCAAAGCUAAUGCCCCAUCAGGCCUGGCCAUGACAGAGCUCUACACCCCAUUCUUUUUAUUCACGAACGUAGCUGCAGUUGCAGAACCACAGCCAAAUUGUGAAUUAGUGAUACACAGCCUUGUUGGUUCCAAGGAUAAUCAAUUGUUGAAUAAGUCUAGAUCUUGGUCGGCCAGGUGAUGUUUCAGGUAACUGGCAAAUGGCUUGAAAAAAUGAAUGGCUUUAAGGCAACUCCAGACAGCCUUCCCAGGUCCUCCCAGCAGAAGCAGAGGCAGUGGAAGCCCAUCCCUAUAUCUGUGGCUGGGAACCGGGCAGGGAGCCCAGGGGGCAGACACGUGGUUGACUCCUCUCCAGGCCACUUACAGCUGAGGGCACGGGGCCCAGCACAAGUAGAUGCUCAACAUUCAAACACGAGUCUGUUUACUGCUAGAUUCCAAUGGUUUUAAGCAAGGCGUGGCUGGGCCUUUAAAAAUAAACAAAUCAAACGUGCCAAAUUGCUUUGACAAUCUCCUCAUUCAUGCCUUUUGCUUGGUCCUCUUCUACUGGACCCACUGCUUAGAUACUGUCCUUUACUUGCACCCCCUAACACGUUCAUAGACACUCAUACACAUUCUCGCACCCUCACUCACACGCACCCACACACACCCCGCAAGUGUACUCAGAGAACAGCGCUGCAGAGGGACUGAGGGCUCCAUUCGAGCACCUGGAGUUUGAUCCUGGUUCUAGCACGCCAUUGCUAUGGGGCCCUGGGCAAGUAACUUAACCCCUUUGAGCCCCGUCUGCAAAAUGAAGAGAAAAAUAACAUGCGUAACUCCUGUUGUCAAGAAAGGCAUGUAAAGCGGUCAGCGUGGCACCUGGCAGGUAGGAAGUCCUCAGUAAACGCUAGCUAUUCAUCCUGCAGUGUCCCCACGUGCACUUACACACCAGCACUCGAGAAAAAGCACACCGAAACACGCAGCGAAGAAUCGGGGCUUUUCGCCUCUGUGAGCCAGUGGGCCAGGAGACAACCAGGGUCUGGGCCCGGUUGUGGCUGGAGGGUGCUGGGCCUCGCUCUUGGUCUCGGGUCGGGGUAUGGCCUGCUGGGGCCAUGCUGGGCAGGGAGUAGCAAAGGUUUCUAUCUGGGAAGAAACGGAUGGGAGCCAACAAUGGCCUCUCAUCCUCUUGUCAGAAGGCUGUGGAAUUAAAGCCACCUGGCUUUUGUCUCUAUCAAGUGGUCUUUUAUAUGGAGAGAUAACAAAGGACAAUUAAUAUAGCAACUGGAGCAACCUUUGAUGCCCCGGUAAUUUCUCUGCCUUACAAUUAUUGAACAAUCAGGGUUUUCCAGGCUCCCAAUUAAAUCACAGUCGGAAACAGAGACAGGCAGAAAGUGGACAUUGCAGCUAGAGGCCACACUGACCCAAGGAAGGACAGCGAUCUGGGACUCCAAGGGAAUGCCCGGGGUGGGCGUGGUGGCAGAAAGAAGGGUCUGGGUUGAAAAAUGAGCCUCCCACCUGGGUGGCAGCUGGACCAGCCUGGGAGAAGAGCAGAUGCCGUUGCUGAUGGAAGGUCUGGGAGGGAGCAUCUGGCCCCCGACGCUGGCACACACCUCGGAAAAGCAGGCUCUUGGCACGCCUGCUUGCCCAGGCUGACACACCCUGGGAUCAGGAGCCGGCCCUGUGCUCCAUCUGGGGGAAUUGGCAUUAGCGGAGGCUGGUCCUCUAACUCACAGAGGGGUCGCCUCUGUGCUCAUGUAGGCACCAGCCUAUUGCACCUCUGAGCUUCCUCCAAGGGCAAAGCACUCGAUGAUUCAGGUUUAAGUAGCAUCAGAGAGAAAGGUCGGUUCUCCCCGAGAAGGCCAGUUCCCUGCCUGGAGCACCCAUCGUGAUGGGCCCUCCCCAGCUGCUCUGCAUCAGGACAGCUGUUCAGGCUGCUCACAGCUAGGUGCACCUGCCCUGGCUUCAGUCCCCCAUUUUGGAAACUGGUCCUCAAAAUUCUCCUCUUCCUCAUUCAUUGUUAAUGUAGCCUCUACUUAUUCAGCCCCGCUGAGGCGCCGGGCUAGGAACACCACUCACAUUCCCUUAUGUGAGCCCUACAACAACCCUUAUGAAGUACUUACUAUUGUGUCUGCCUUAUGGAAGAGAGAAUAGUUUUCCCUGAGGGUACAUUACUUACCUACAGCUAUGUUGCUCAUAAAUGGCACAAACAGAAUUCAGACCUAUAUCUACCUGACUUCAAAGAUAUAGCCUUAACCACUGGACCACACGGCCUCCCCUUGAUUGUUGCAAAAUAGAUGGGAGCCAAGCUGGUGGCCCAAAGCACAGUCAGCUCACACAGCAGGAAGGGUGUUUGGAAUGCCGCCCCUGGCCUGGCCACUGCUGUCACCAUGCCAUCCCUUGAGAAACCUUUAACUAUGCCUGUGUCUUUGUGUCACCUGCUUUAUACUCAGAGUCCUGAGUGGGACCAUCCUGUUGGCCAAUUCUAAACCCCAUUCUCCUGUCCUGGAAGCUGAGAAAAGAAAUGUCCACUUCCUGGACAAUAUGAGGGAUUUUGAACCCCUGCACCCCACAUACUUUGGGCCUCUCUCAAAUAGAAAUUGGGUUUGGAGGCUGGGAACCAAAAAGAAAAAGUACAUUUGUCUAGUUCAGAUUCCUAAGAAACGUCAUCCCCAUCCCCACCCCUUAACACAUGGGAAACAUGCUGGCAUUGAUUUGGGAUAUCUGUGGUCUUGUAGGGGGAGGUGGAAGCACAUGCCACAUAGCCUCCAUCUGAGACCCCAUCUUCCUACUUUCCUUUGUGGAUGGAGGUGUUGGGGCCCAGAGAGGUUAAUAUACCUGCAGAAGGUCACACAGCUGCUUAGUGACAUUAUAAUUAUAAAUAAAAAUUCCACCCAUGUAUACCAUCUUGGGGUGGCUGGUCUGAAUCAGUGAAUGUUGUAUGAAAGGACUUUUCCUCCUUUCCUCCAUCCCUUUCUCUCUGUUUAUGUUAACUAGCAAGCCCUAUGAUAAAUGCUCUGGGGAUACAGGUAAGUACGAAACCUGAUCUCUGAGCUCAGGGAGCUAUCCAAGGACUCCCAGGAUUCAGGAAGGGUGAGCAGAGGGUGCCAAGAGCAAGCUCUGCUGGUUUAGACAAUGACUUGGGUCUCCUCAUCCUCUUGCUUGAGGCCAGGGGACGUCUGAGCUAUAAGAAGGCCUCAUAAAGUUGUAAGGAAGAAUGAUGGCAAUUUCUCAAGGCUGAUUAGGGACAGAGUUGCUGGCAGAAGGUCCAUGGGGUGGCACAUGGCCCACCUUUGGGCCAUGCUGGGGAUACGCCAGUCCUUGUCCCACAGAGAAGAUCUCUGUUUCCUUGUCUGUGAAGUGAAGACCAUGGUCAGACUUCUUUUACAGUGUUUUUUCAUGAGGAUUAAGUGGUAUAUGGUGAUUAGAGAGCUUUGUAAACGGUGAAGUGCGUGCACACUUGUUACUAAUAUUUUGUGAAGCUGGAGGUCCAAGGAUGCCAGCUCCUCUGAGACUGAUGGAAGUUUGGAGGCCCUGGGGCUCUGAGAAGGCCUGGAUUUUAACUCCAAAUCUGCCUGGUUUUGCUGCUCUAAGGCAAGAACCUAGAGGAAAGCAAGCGGCAUCAUGGAGCCAUGGAAGAGCCUCAGAUGGGAGCCUGUGAUCUGGGCCUCAUCCCGGGCUGCCUGGCUAUGGAACCUUGGACCAGUCUCUGCUGAUUCUUAGGUCUCAGUUUCCUCAACUGUAAAAUGAGGCAAAGGUGGAGGGACCACAGGGAUGGGUGAAACAAUAGAGUAGUCAAGAGCUCAGGGUCUGAGCUGAGGCCUGAGUUCCAAUCCCAGCGUCACCACAUGUGAGACAUGCAAAUUGCUUGACCUCCUCCUUCUCCCUCCUGGACCUCAGUUUCCUUACCUUUAUAGUGGUGUAAUAACAGCACGUCUCCCUCGAGGUUACUGUAAGCCUGCAAGGGGCCAGCAUGUGGCAAAUACUGAGGACGGUUCCAGCGGUGAGUGCCGAACCCCCAAGCAGUUUUGUCGCUGCCACAGAUUUCUUCUUCUUCAGACAUGCUCUUGUUCUAUGGAUAGGGAUGGAAUGUUUUACGGGGGAGCAAAGUGCCCUAGAAUGGAUGAGCCAGGACACGGCGCCCAGGGGAGGGUGACAGUGGGGGGUAAACGGCAGCAGCUUGUUUACUUGGCAUUAGCCCACUGACACCCCGCCUCCCUCGAAAGCCAGACAGAGCUUCUAAACUUAUCCACCUUCGGAGGACGUUGGGAGGCUCACGCUUAUAUUUCUGAAUUCCUUCCUCCUGGAAAGCCCCCGGCAGCCUCCAUGCCAAAGCUGCUCCUGGGGAUUAGGGGUGAGUGACGGCCCAGCACUGUGGGGGUUAAUGGCUCCUGGUCGAUGUGGGGUGGGGUGCACGCUCGCUGAUGCAGAGACAGCAGGUGAAGGGUACUUUAUUACGAUGCAUGACUGGUUCCUCGGCUGCUUCAGCAUCUGCCCGUGCGCACGCAGAAGCUAGCAAGCGAUUCGCUCUAUUUUGCCCCUGAGUGUGCCUCCCGAGGAGGGAAAUUAUUGAUUUUUAACACCAGACACAUAAACUCGAAGCUAUUCCCUGUAUUCUUUGGUCCCCGGCGGUACCCUGAUGGACAAAGUUGGCCGUUUCAGUCAUCAGACACACACGCAGCAGAACCAGGUGGUCAUCACCUUGCCACCACGAGGUGGAGGAACCUUGGUGUUCUCUGAGCUGGUCCUGCUGUGUGAGGUGCCAGCCCUCCGGACCCGCCCUCAUCCCAGUCCACUGCCUUUCCCGAGCUUGUGGGGAAUGGACUGCUGAGCGAUUGAAGGAAGUGAGGUCCAGGUCCGGGAGAGAGGGUGUCGGUUCUGGGGAGUAGAAGUGAGCACUGGACGUGAUUCUGACCUCUGAGAUGGGACAGCUCUAGGGCUGUGGUCAUCACUUUAUCUCCUCCAAGCCCACAGUUUAUAUCUGUAAAGUGAGGGUUAAAUGGCCACUGUGUGUGAACCCAUAGAAGAUGGAUGGACAAGCUUCCUGGGUAUUAACCAUGGCUCUCACCAUGACCCAGGGCAUCUGUAGUGUGUGUGUUAACACGCUACAGCAUCGAGCAUCCCUGGGCUAUCAGGCUGGGUGGAGACUUCCCUAGCUGCAGGCCUAUCUGCUCAUUUUCCAGGUGGGAAAACUGAGGCCCAGGGAAGGUGAGUUACAAUGAAUCUUCUUGUUUCCUGUCUCAAUCUCCAUCCACCCUCAGAUCAAACACCCAAAAUGUUUUCUUCUAUUUUCUUAUCUGCUUUGUAAAGUGUCUAAAUAGAUUUCGCUUUUAUAAUUAGAAAAAAAAAACUGUUACAAUAAUGCAAAUCCAUUGCCAUUUUUUUCUUUUCAAGAAAAGGCAGAAAAGUAAAUGUCUCAAGGACAUUUGAAGAAGGCACAAAGUUUGGCAAAUAUCAAUUACAUCAAGCUUAUGAUCUAUAUGAUUUUAAAGAAAUUUUAGUGAUCUUUUCCCGUGGUCUGCAGAAGAAACCAAAACUCCUCAACCCAACGUCCAAAGCCUCUUCCUGUCUGUUCUUCACCACCCAUUUCCCAAUCCCAUCUGUACUCACACAUUCUCUGCUCAAAGCAGCCCCCUGCCUGCUUCCUCUCCCUCCAACCCCACAUGCCAUUCUUCCAGCUCCCAGCUACUACCUCUGAACUUCCUUCUUUUAAUUAAAAAAGAAAACAUUUUCUUUUUCAGCAAUAAAGUCAUUCCCUCAUCUCACUCAAAAAGUCUAGAGGUGGGCAGGGGUUUAAUGAUGGAGUCAAGGGCCAGGCUCUCUUUCUGCUCCAACAUCCUCAGCAUGCUGCAUGUAUGCCCUCAUAUUUAUUGCCUCAUGGUCGCAAAAUUGCUGCCACAGCCCCGAGCAUCAGCUCUGCGCUCAAGGCAAAAAAGGGAGCAGGGCAGCACUGGCAAAUCUCUCUGUCGUCAAAAAA